UCUAAUAUGGCAGAAUAGUGCAUUAGAUUUAAGCUCUAAAUAAGUAGUGUUGAUCCACUUCUAUUAGAA
rnacentral:tRNA from 2 species